rnacentral:tRNA from 1 species
CCAGGGGUGGCGGAGCGGUCAAACGCACCUGGCUGUAAACCAGGCGCCCUUCGUGGCUGCGCAGGUUCGAAUCCUGCCCCCUGGAC